rnacentral:tmRNA from 1 species
GGGGGUGAACGGUUUCGACUCUGGCCGUUGAGCCAAGGGAAGCGUGCCGGUGCAGGCGGAAGACCACCGAAAGCGUCGCCGUAAAUUAACAAGCGCCGACAACAAGAGUCAGCGCGAGUUCGCACUCGCCGCAUGAGCGAGUAGCGACUCUGUCGGACCGGGUGAGUCUCCGACCCGGACCCCGGCAUCGUUUAGGGGACUCACCGUUGGGCUUGGUCGCGGGGCCUAACGGGACACCGCACAGCGACUGGGCUUGUCACACCGGCUCGUCCGCGUGACCGGUGAAGCCAAGCAGUGACAUAGCGGACUGCGCACGGAGAAGCCUUGGUGAGGCGACAGAGGACCCGGGUUCGAAUCCCGGCACCUCCACGA